CCAAUCAGAGCCAGAAAUUUAUUUAUAUUUGUGUCUAAAAGAAAAAAAACAUUUGAAAAUUUCCAUUAGCUCUAAAGGCUUUUCCUAUAAAACCAGGUGGCAGGUUUAAAAAAUUUUCUCUAGCUAUAGUAGCGCUGGGCACAUGGAGAUGCGAACUAACCCAGGAUUUGUGGAAAUGAGGAGUUAUAGACGGUUGAGCAACAAUUGUGCUACUGCACUGAAACUGAAAUACUCUUCCUACUAGUCUUAAAAACAUAUCACAGUGUGUUAAACACUGAGGAGGCAGCCCUUGCCGAUGAAGAAAUCCAUCGGGUCAAUCCGGUACGUACAACCGGCUGCCAUGGGAUUGGUUGUUGUAUCACUGAUGAUAUCUCACAUUUGUUGCUUCUUCUUGGUGUUUGAACGGAUAAUUGAGCGUUAGACUAUGUAACUAAUUCAAAAAAAAAAAAACAAUUUUUUUACAUUCAAUAAAUUUGUUUGUUUUUUCUUUUAGUGAUAGUAAUAUAUUAGAUUUUAAUAUUGAUUUUUGUAUUAUGAAAAAUUGAAAAUUUAUUAAUGUAAAGUCCGGGUGGGCGAUGUAUGAUUAAUAAAAAAAUUUAUAAAUUGCGGAGGUAGUACCGGAUUAUUGCUAAA